rnacentral:rRNA from 1 species
UGGGUUAAGUCCCGCAACGAGCGCAACCCUUGUCACUAGUUGCUACGCAAGAGCACUCUAGUGAGACUGCCGGUGACAAACCGGAGGAAGGUGGGGAUGACGUCAAGUCCUCAUGGCCCUUAUGGCUAGGGCCUCACACGUCAUACAAUGGUCGGAACAGAGGGCAGCGAAGCCGCGAGGUGGAGCAAAUCCCAGAAAACCGAUCGUAGUCCGGAUUGCAGUCUGCAACUCGACUGCAUGAAGUCGGAAUCGCUAGUAAUCGCGGAUCAGCAUGCCGCGGUGAAUACGUUCCCGGGUCUUGUACACACCGCCCGUCACACCAUGGGAGUGGGGUUCACCAGAAGACGUUUGUUUAACCGCAAGGAGGACGGCGUCCACGGUGGGCUUCAUGACUGGGGUGAAGUCGUAACAAGGUAGCCGUACC